GGUUGUUUAGCUUAGUGGUAGAGUACCCAGCCAGUAUCUGAGUUGUAUAGGUUCAACUGCUAUAGCCGCCU
rnacentral:tRNA from 1 species